GCUUCAUCAAUCUGUCUAUAAUGAUCCAUGUGCCAUUAUGUCCACUAUGAGUCUGUGGAAGUCCAAAUAAGAAAUCCAUAGUAAUGUGCUCCCAUUUCCACUCAGGAAUAGGCAGUAUUUGUAACAAUCCUGCUAUUUUCUGACGAUCUAGUUUCACUUGCUAAUAAAUGAGACAUCUGGAUACAAAUCCAUGCCACCAAUAGUGUUCUUUGAGUAUAUGAUACAUUUUAACACUAACCGGAUGUAUUGCGUAAGCUGAACAAUGUGCCUCUUCUAGAAUUUCUCUCUUCAAUUUCGAAUCAUCUGGAACACAUAAUCUGUUUUCCAUAACUAAAGCUCCGUCAUCUCGAAUGGUAUAAUCUAUGUGCUUACCUUUACUAACUUCUUCUUUCAAUUUGCUCAACACUGGAUCUUGAGUUUGGGCUUCUCUAACUGUGUCAAUCAAAGUGACUUGGAAGUUGGCAAACAAUGCUCCUACAUUAGUAACUGACAAUUGGGCAUGUGAAGCUCUAAACUCACCAAACAAAGAAGAACAUAUUGCAUUAGUCUAGAUCAUAGGAUUUGAUAUCUUCUGACUGAGAGUAUUAGCAACUACAUUAGCCUUCUCUAGAUGAUAAUCAUCUUGCAAUCGUAAUCUUUUAUCAACUCUAACCAUCUUCUUUGCCUCAGGUUCAACUCUUUCUGAUUGAAAAUAUACUUUAAGCUUUUAUGAUCUGUAUAUAUCUGACAUCUCUCGCCAUACAAGUAAUGUCUCCAAAUCUUCAAGGCUAGGACAACUGCAGCUAGCUCUAAGUCAUGUGUAAGAUAACUCAGUUCAUGUUUCUUCAACAGCCUGGAAGCAUACGGUAUAACUUUCCCAUUCUGCAUUAAAACACAACCAAGACCCUGACGUAAAACAUUACUAAAUAUUACAAACUCUUUACCAGGAGAUGAUAGGGUAAGAACUGGAGCUGACACUAAUCGAUUCUUCAAUUCGAGAAAACUUCUUUCACAAUCUUCAUUCCAUACAAAAUUAUCAUUCUUUCUAGUCAAACUGGUCAAAAGCAGAACAAUUUUAGAAAAUUCCUCUACAAAAUGACAGCAAUAACCUGCUAAGCGAAUAAAACUUUGUAUUUCUGUCACAUUAGUAGGCCUUUCCCACUUUAUCAAUGCCUCAAUUUUCUGCGGGUCAACAUAAAUUCUCUCUACUGAUAUGACAUGUCCCAAGAAUACAAAUCUAUCCAGCCAGAAUUCACAUUUACUGAAUUUAGCAUACAACUGCUUAUCC
rnacentral:lncRNA from 1 species